rnacentral:tRNA from 1 species
GCGUUCGUGGCUCAAUUGGAUAGAGUUUCGGACUUCGAAUCCGACGGUUAUAGGUUCGAAUCCUAUCGGGCGCA